rnacentral:rRNA from 1 species
GAUGAACGCUGGCGGCGUGCCUAAUACAUGCAAGUCGAGCGAACGGACGAUAAGCUUUCUUCUCUGAUGUUAGCGGCUGACGGGUGAGUAACACGUGGAUAACCUACCUAUAAGACUGGGAUAACUUCGUGAAACCGCAUCUAAUACCGGAUAAUAUUUUGAACCGCAUGGUUCAAAAGUGAAAGACGCUCUUGCUGUCACUUAUAGAUGGAUCCGCGCUGCAUUAGCUAGUUGGUAAGGUAACGGCUUACCAAGGCAACGAUGCAUAGCCGACCUGAGAGGGUGAUCGGCCACACUGGAACUGAGACACGGUCCAGACUCCUACGGGAGGCAGCAGUAGGGAAUAUUCCGCAAUGGGCGCAAGCCUGACGGAGCAACGCCGCGUGAGUGAUGAAGGUCUUCGGAUCGUAAAACUCUGUUAUUAGGGAAGAAAAUAUGUGUAAGUAACUGUGCACAUCUUGACGGUACCUAAUCAGAAAGCCACGGCUAACUACGUG